UACGGGGGGGGGCAAGCGUUGUUCGGAAUUACUGGGCGUAAAGGGCGCGUAGGCGGCCUGCUAAGUCGGACGUGAAAUCCCUCGGCUCAACCGGGGAACUGCGUCCGAUACUGGCGAGGCUUGAAUCCGGGAGAGGGAUGCAGAAUUCCAGGUGUAGCGGUGAAAUGCGUAGAUAUCUGGAGGAAUACCGGUGGCGAAGGCGGCAUCCUGGACCGGCAUUGACGCUGAGGAGCGAAAGCCAGGGGAGCAAACGGGG
rnacentral:rRNA from 1 species